AGAGUUUGAUCCUGGCUCAGGAUGAACGCUGGCGGCGUGCUUAACACAUGCAAGUCGAACGGAAAGGCCUGUACUUGUACAGGUACUCGAGUGGCGAACGGGUGAGUAACACGUGGGUGAUCUGCCCUGCACUAUGGGAUAAGCUUGGGAAACUGGGUCUAAUACCAUAUAGGACCACUUCUUGGAUGUUGUGGUGGAAAGCUUUUGCGGUGUGGGAUGAGCCUGCGGCCUAUCAGCUUGUUGGUGGGGUAAUGGCCAACCAAGGCGGCGACGGGUAUCCGGCCUGAGAGGGUGUGCGGACACAUUGGGACUGAGAUACGGCCCAGACUCCUACGGGAGGCAGCAGUGGGGAAUAUUGCACAAUGGGCGCAAGCCUGAUGCAGCGACGCCGCGUGGGGGAUGACGGCCUUCGGGUUGUAAACUCCUUUCGCUAUCGACGAAGCCACCUUUGGUGGUGACGGUAGGUAGAUAAGAAGCACCGGCUAACUACGUG
rnacentral:rRNA from 1 species